rnacentral:rRNA from 1 species
UACGAAGGGGGCUAGCGUUGCUCGGAAUCACUGGGCGUAAAGGGCGCGUAGGCGGCGUUUUUAAGUCGGGGGUGAAAGCCUGUGGCUCAACCACAGAAUGGCCUCGAUACUGGGACUUGAGUAUGGUAGAGGUUGGUGGAACUGCGAGUGUAGAGGUGAAAUUCGUAGAUAUUCGCAAGAACACCGGUGGCGAAGGCGGCCAACUGGACCAUUCUGAGCUAGGCGCGAAAGCGUGGGGG